GUUUCGGACGUCAAUUUAACUAUAAAAAUAUUGUUUUUAUAGUUACAUUGAUGUUUAAGCAUUAUUUUGCGCGGUGCGCCAUGAAGCAAAAAUUUGUCUUUGAAAGCGGCAAGUGCUAAAGAUAUUUUUGCGCAUAAUAGGACAACCACAUAAGUUACUUUAAAUGAUUGCAAUUUUCAAUUUUUAUUACAUCUUGAGAAGAAAGUUGGUUUUAAGAACACUAAUUGUCUCGAAAGAUACAUAGCCCACAAAUGCACAACAAAAUUGAGCCGGCGGUCUUGUCAGGUUGUCUUUUUUAACCUCGGCCAUGAGGUACAUUCUUCCCCCUAGGUACAGUGCGCAGAAAGGCCGCCGCACCUGUCACCGAGAGGCGAGGAAUGUCUACGUAUCAGUGGACCUUCCCAAGGUAGGAGGGGGAGAGGGGUCAUGAUCCGGCGUAAGGAGGGGCUUUAGUUUCGCCGUGGUCAAGGCGAAGCGGGUGGAUGUAAAGAACGUCACAUGCCUCUGCCGCGCAUGCGCACAAAUUUGACAGUCGAGGCAAAGAGGGAGACCAUCGCAAUCGCCAUCAGUUCCUUUGCGACGCCGGCGUGGUACGGUAGGCGCGAUGUAGGUGUUUGGUCGCUUAUUGUGGCAGCAAUCUAGCUAUUUUUGCUGCUGUUUAUGCUUAUGCUGUGUUGUGACUGAUUCAUCAAUGCAAGCCAACCGGCAACGUGCUUGUGAAGCCCACGGAGCUUUCUUCGUUCCGUGAUGUGAACGUUCAUGCAACUUCUCUGCCAGCUGCGAUGCAAUGUCGUGUGAAGUGAUUGAAUAUUGGCACUGCCCGUGUUUUAAACUGCACACUGCACGAAUAGCGAACAGCUUUUCCUCAAGACAGCACUGCGCCGAAGUUUUGUCUGUCGCCAAAUUAUAAAAAAAGGGUUCACUCUGCAAACAUUCUGAGAGACAUCAGCUCUGAGUGUGAAAAAUACUUUAUCAUCGAUGCUUGCUAGAGAAUAUGCAGCAGCUGCCAUGCCGUAAUCAACUAAGUCAUUAUUUAUUUGUUAUUUUUAUUAAUUUCUCUACUACUUUUCUCACAAUGCUGUGUAAAUAGUCUUGUGUGAAUAAACUUCUUUUAGUGGAAAA